rnacentral:rRNA from 3 species
UUCCGGAGCUAACGCGUUAAGUAGACCGCCUGGGGAGUACGGCCGCAAGGUUAAAACUCAAAUGAAUUGACGGGGGCCCGCACAAGCGGUGGAGCAUGUGGUUUAAUUCGAUGCAACGCGAAGAACCUUACCUGGUCUUGACAUCCACAGAACUUUCCAGAGAUGGAUUGGUGCCUUCGGGAACUGUGAGACAGGUGCUGCAUGGCUGUCGUCAGCUCGUGUUGUGAAAUGUUGGGUUAAGUCCCGCAACGAGCGCAACCCUUAUCCUUUGUUGCCAGCGAUUAGGUCGGGAACUCAAAGGAGACUGCCAGUGAUAAACUGGAGGAAGGUGGGGAUGACGUCAAGUCAUCAUGGCCCUUACGACCAGGGCUACACACGUGCUACAAUGGCGCAUACAAAGAGAAGCGACCUCGCGAGAGCAAGCGGACCUCAUAAAGUGCGUCGUAGUCCGGAUUGGAGUCUGCAACUCGACUCCAUGAAGUCGGAAUCGCUAGUAAUCGUGGAUCAGAAUGCCACGGUGAAUACGUUCCCGGGCCUUGUACACACCGCCCGUCACACCAUGGGAGUGGGUUGCAAAAGAAGUAGGUAGCUUAACCUUCGGGAGGGCGCUUACCACUUUGUGAUUCAUGACUGGGGUGAAGUCGUAACAAGGUAACCGUAGGGGAACCUGCGGUUGGA